UAUACAUGCAAGUCGAACGCUUUGUGGUUCAACUGAUUUGAAGAGCUUGCUCAGAUAUGACGAUGGACAUUGCAAAGAGUGGCGAACGGGUGAGUAACACGUGGGAAACCUACCUCUUAGCAGGGGAUAACAUUUGGAAACAGAUGCUAAUACCGUAUAACAAUGACAACCGCAUGGUUGUUAUUUAAAAGAUGGUUCUGCUAUCACUAAGAGAUGGUCCCGCGGUGCAUUAGCUAGUUGGUAAGGUAAUGGCUUACCAAGGCGAUGAUGCAUAGCCGAGUUGAGAGACUGAUCGGCCACAAUGGGACUGAGACACGGCCCAUACUCCUACGGGAGGCAGCAGUAGGGAAUCUUCCACAAUGGGCGAAAGCCUGAUGGAGCAACGCCGCGUGUGUGAUGAAGGGUUUCGGCUCGUAAAACACUGUUGUAAGAGAAGAAUGACAUUGAGAGUAACUGUUCAAUGUGUGACGGUAUCUUACCAGAAAGGAACGGCUAAAUACGUGCCAGCAGCCGCGGUAAUACGUAUGUUCCAAGCGUUAUCCGGAUUUAUUGGGCGUAAAGCGAGCGCAGACGGUUAUUUAAGUCUGAAGUGAAAGCCCUCAGCUCAACUGAGGAAUUGCUUUGGAAACUGGAUGACUUGAGUGCAGUAGAGGAAAGUGGAACUCCAUGUGUAGCGGUGAAAUGCGUAGAUAUAUGGAAGAACACCAGUGGCGAAGGCGGCUUUCUGGACUGUAACUGACGUUGAGGCUCGAAAGUGUGGGUAGCAAACAGGAUUAGAUACCCUGGUAGUCCACACCGUAAACGAUGAGUGCUAGGUGUUUGAGGGUUUCCGCCCUUAAGUGCCGCAGCUAACGCAUUAAGCACUCCGCCUGGGGAGUACGACCGCAAGGUUGAAACUCAAAGGAAUUGACGGGGACCCGCACAAGCGGUGGAGCAUGUGGUUUAAUUCGAAGCAACGCGAAGAACCUUACCAGGUCUUGACAUCCCUUGACAACUCCAGAGAUGGAGCGUUCCCUUCGGGGACAAGGUGACAGGUGGUGCAUGGUUGUCGUCAGCUCGUGUCGUGAGAUGUUGGGUUAAGUCCCGCAACGAGCGCAACCCUUAUUACUAGUUGCCAGCAUUCAGUUGGGCACUCUAGUGAGACUGCCGGUGACAAACCGGAGGAAGGUGGGGAUGACGUCAAAUCAUCAUGCCCCUUAUGACCUGGGCUACACACGUGCUACAAUGGCGUAUACAACGAGUUGCCAACCCGCGAGGGUGAGCUAAUCUCUUAAAGUACGUCUCAGUUCGGAUUGUAGGCUGCAACUCGCCUACAUGAAGUCGGAAUCGCUAGUAAUCGCGGAUCAGCACGCCGCGGUGAAUACGUUCCCGGGUCUUGUACACACCGCCCGUCACACCAUGAGAGUUUGUAACACCCAAAGCCGGUGGGGUAACCUUCGGGAGCCAGCCGU
rnacentral:rRNA from 1 species